rnacentral:rRNA from 1 species
UGGGGAAUAUUGGACAAUGGGCGAAAGCCUGAUCCAGCCAUGCCGCGUGUGUGAAGAAGGUCUUCGGAUUGUAAAGCACUUUAAGUUGGGAGGAAGGGCAGUAAGCGAAUACCUUGCUGUUUUGACGUUACCGACAGAAUAAGCACCGGCUAACUCUGUGCCAGCAGCCGCGGUAAUACAGAGGGUGCAAGCGUUAAUCGGAAUUACUGGGCGUAAAGCGCGCGUAGGUGGUUCGUUAAGUUGAAUGUGAAAGCCCCGGGCUCAACCUGGGAACUGCAUCCAAAACUGGCGAGCUAGAGUAGAGCAGAGGGUGGUGGAAUUGCCUGUGUAGCGGUGAAAUGCGUAGAUAUAGGAAGGAACACCAGUGGCGAAGGCGACCACCUGGGCUCAUACUGACACUGAGGUGCGAAAGCGUGGGGAGCAAACAGG